UACGAAGGGGGCUAGCGUUGCUCGGAAUCACUGGGCGUAAAGGGUGCGUAGGCGGGUCUUUAAGUCAGGGGUGAAAUCCUGGAGCUCAACUCCAGAACUGCCUUCGAUACUGAGAGUCUUUGAGUCCGGGAGAGGUGAGUGGAACUGCGAGUGUAGAGGUGAAAUUCGUAGAUAUUCGCAAGAACACCAGUGGCGAAGGCGGCUCACUGGCCCGGUACUGACGCUGAGGUGCGAAAGCGUGGGGAGCAAACAGG
rnacentral:rRNA from 1 species